CACCAAAAAGUCCAAAUCAACUCCAGGCAAGCGAGAAGUGAAAAAUCUAUCCAAAGGAACCGACAACAGUUGUUAUCGUUCCGAGCGACAGAGAAAAUCUGACAAGCAAGGGGGAUUGGUUCAUACACCCACCACCCAGCGGCGGGUAAGGUAGACCACCUGACCUACCUGUCGCGUGUGCCGCGAGAUUUGAAAUUCUGUCGGGAACGUCGGAAACUAUAGCUAAGUAUAUAUCUGACAGGAAAGUUCAUGUACAAAAACUAAUUUUAACAAUUACUUAUCACUACGUACUGAGUAGCUUGGAGACAGAUCUUUCUCUCUUCAGCAGAAAAUUGAGGCUUUUAUAAAACAAUGGUCUGUUCUUACAAAUGAGUACAAAAGACACUGAUUUACAAAUUAACAGACUCAACUUUUCAAAUGAUUUUUUCAACAUCCCCAAAUUUGAUGUUCAGACCAUGCAGGUUAAGAGAAAUUCCAACAUCCAGCCCAAACAUAAGACACUUCUCUGUACCUAAAAUUAUUCCCCACCCACAAAUAAAAACACAAAAUUGUUGCCUAUGUAGUGCACAUAAUUAUACACACUUUGCAAACAUUAAAUAAUAAAUUAUGACUACUCUACAAUUGUAAAUUAAAUUCAACAAAAAUACUGGAUCACAUUUUUUAACUGUCACGGAUUGCCAAAAUGAUUUUUCUUGCAUGAGAUGGGAAAAUUUGAGAAGGUUAGAAGCUAGGUAGGACAAGACCAAAGGCAAAUCUUUAGUAUUAUCUACAGUGAGCAACACACAGCACAUUAAGUGGUAGAAAACAUGGAGACUUUA